AAAACAGUCCACUUUGUGGCCUGUUAUCGGAAUGGGUACAAUUUAAAUCUUUUAACGAGGAUCUAUUAGAGGGCAAGUCUGGUGCCAGCAGCCGCGGUAAUUCCAGCUCUAAUAGCGUAUAUUAAAGUUGUUGUGGUUAAAACGCCCGUAGUUGGUUUUUCGGUCUCGAAGCUCGGUAGCUCGUAUGGGCUUAACUGAGUCUUCCGGCCUAAAUUUCUUGUACUCUCCCGAUGCUCUUUAUUGAGUGUCUCGAGAUGCUAGAACGUUUACUUUGAAAAAAUUAGAGUGCUAAAAGCAGGCUAUACGCUUGAAUAAAGUGCAUGGAAUAAUGGAAUAGGACUUUAGUUUUAUUUUGUUGGUUUUCGAAAUUAAAGUAAUGAUUAAGAGGAACAGACGGGGGCAUUCGUAUUGUUGCGUUAGAGGCGAAAUUCUUGGAUCGCAGCAAGACGAACAACUGCGAAAGCAUUUGCCAAGAAUGUUUUCAUUAAUCAAGGACGAUAGUUAGAGGUUCGAAGGCGAUCAGAUACCGCCCUAGUUCUAACCGUAAACUAUGCCAACUAGCGAUCCGUCGGUGUUAAAUAUUGACUCGACGGGCAGCUUCCGGGAAACCAAAGUUUAUAGGUUCCGGGGGAAGUAUGGUUGCAAAGCUUAAACUUAAAGGAAUUGACGGAAGGGCACCACCAGGAGUGGAGCCUGCGGCUUAAUUUGACCCAACACGGGGAAAACUCACCCGGCCAGGACACAAUAAGGAUUGACAGAUUGAUAGCUCUUUCUUGAUUUUGUGGGUGGUGGUGCAUGGCCGUUCUUAGUUGGUGGAGCGAUUUGUCUGGUUAAUUCCGAUAACGAACGAGACUCUAGCCUAUUAAAUAGGCGAUAUAUCUUAUUAGUAUAUCGAGCUUCUUAGAGGGACGAGCAGCUUCUAGCUGCACGAGAUUGAGCAAUAACAGGUCUGUGAUGCCCUUAGAUGUCCGGGGCUGCACGCGCGCUACAAUGAAAAUAGCAGCGCGUUUCGAAAACCUUUUCUGGAAAGUAUUGGUAAACGCGAAAUAUUUUCGUGAUUGGGAUAGGGGAUUGCAAUUAUUGCCCUUGAACGAGGAAUUCCCAGUAAAUUCGAGUCAUCAGCUCGAGUUGAUUACGUCCCUGCCCUUUGUACACACCGCCCGUCGCUACUACCGAUUGGAACAUUGCGUGAGAUCUUCGGACUGACGUCGAAACGAACGUAAAAAUUCGAUUCGCGCGUUGGAAAGAUGCUCGAAUGCAACGUUCUAGAGGAAGUAAAAGUCGUAACAAGGUUUCCGUAGGUGAACCUGCGGAAG
rnacentral:rRNA from 1 species